AGCAGCCGCGGUAAUUCCAGCUCCAAUAGCGUAUAUUAAAGUUGUUGCAGUUAAAAAGCUCGUAGUUGAAUUUCGGGAUCAAUCUGCCGGUCGUGCCUCCGGUAUGCACUGGUUUUAUUGGUUUCUCCCUUCUGACGAAUCAUGAUGUCAUUAAUUUGGUGUCAUGGGGAAUCAGGACUGUUACUUUGGAAAAAUUAGAGUGUUUAAAGCAGGCUCACGCUUGAAUACAUUAGCAUGGAAUAAUGAAAUAGGACGUUUGACCCUAUUUUGUUGGUUUCUAGGAUCGACGUAAUGAUUAAUAGGGAUAGUUGGGGGCAUUAGUAUUCAAUUGUCAGAGGUGAAAUUCUUGGAUUUAUUGAAGACUAACUACUGCGAAAGCAUUUGCCAAGGAUGUUUUCAUUAAUCAAGAACGAAAGUUAGGGGAUCGAAGACGAUCAGAUACCGUCGUAGUCUUAACCAUAAACUAUGCCGACUAGGGAUCGGAUGAUGUUAAUUUUUAAUGA
rnacentral:rRNA from 1 species